CAGAGUUCAGGGGAAUUAAAACAGGGGCAGAAGAGACUUCGCAAAUUACUGGAUACUGAAAAUGCAAUCUACUAUCUCUCCUUCACAUUGUGGGUUAUUCGGGGUCCUUUGCGUGGCUGUGGCAAAUGACUGAAUCCUUGCUUCCAAGUCUGCCAGUGGGAGAAAUAAAAAGCCAGGGAGAAAAGAGAAAAUGUCUUUUGCUAGACUAGGUCACUUGUUACCUGCGAACAACACCGUGACCAUGUCCUGAUAAGUGGUGAGGCUAAAAGUUAGGCAUUUUCAUCUUCUCGUCAGAUUUUAAUUUGCAUAAAUUCUGCCAUCCCCUUUAUUAAAAAGAACGGAGAGUGGAUAGUAUCUGGCUGCGUGAGGACCCUCUGACUGGGCGAGCAGCCCCCCAUGACGCUUCCAAAUGCCGGUUCCUCUGCCAAACAUGCCCCAGUAGUUUCACUCCUCCUGACCAAAGUGGAUAAUGCAGGUGUAAGGGCAGAGGGAGAAGCGGUGCUCUUAAAAAUAGAUCUGACUUAGUAGUCUUUAAAUAACCGAGGAUUGUGAUAUGAGAGAGGGCUACUUACUUUGAAUCUGUAUCUCUACAGAGAGCAGAAUCUGACAAAAUGGCCUCAACUGACUUGCGUAAAGCGAUUUGGCCUCGCUGAGUAAGAACUUCUACAAGAGAGGGGAACCGAGGCUUGGCAAGGUGAAGUACUUAUCUCACGUCACAUAGCUGGCCUGGCUAAAUGACCUUAUUUGGCGAAUGGGACAAUUGCAAAAUUGACACAGCAGAGGCUCUUGCUGGUGGGAUCUCUUUACCACCAUGUGAACAAGCCUGGCCCCUUCUCAUUGAGGAUGAGCAGCACCACAUGGAAAGAGGCUCCAGCCACAUCCUUGGUCCAGCAUUCCACUUGAGGCCCCAGACGUAGGAGUGUGGCUGUCCCAGACAUCUAGCCUCAACCAAACUAGCCCAGCCCAGAAGAACCACUCAACCAACCCACAGAAUCAUGAACUAGAUUAAAUGUUUGUUAUUUUAAAUCACUAAGUUUUGGAGUAAUUUGUUAUGAAAAGCUCAUUAAUACAUUAUCCGUACAUCUUACAUCUUACAUACUCCUAUCAACCAACCAACAAAGCAUUUGUUAGGCACUCGGGGUACAAUAAUAAGUAAAAACUUAAUGGUUAUAAUCUACUUGGGGAGAUGUCUUACCUGUGAAAAAGUAAGUAACACUGCAGUUCAAAGUGAUAAAUGCUAAGUGAGUUCUAAUAGUGCUGUGGCAUAAGGAGGAAGAAGCGAUCUCUAAGGCAGAGAAAAUUUCUAUAGGAGCCUGAACUUCAACUUGAUCAUAAAGAGCACCGAUUUAAUCUUAGGUAGCUGGAGACAAACAGGGGUGGGAUCUCCAAGUCAGAAGAAGAUUGCAAACAACAUGUUCAGGAAACUGGUGAGCAGUCUGGUUUGGCCAGAGCAUAAAGAAAAUCAGUAAGAGAUAAAGUUGGAAUGGGGGAGGCCAGGCUACCAAGAGCUGGAAACCUGGGGUUAGAGUCGAUAGAUUUAGCAAAUAAAAAUACAGGGAGCUU